CCUCCCACCCAGAAAACCAUUCUUCUCUGCCGGCUUCAUCUCUCGCCUCUUUCCUUUUCUGUUCUCCUUUGAUUUCUCAUUGUUUUAUUGAUUAACAGGAACGAAGAAGUAAGGUCAUUUACGUAAUAGUUUAGCUUUCAUCAGAUGCUCAUCAAAGGACAUCCAUUCUGUCAGCCACACGUAUAAAACCUGAGAAAAUUUUCUCUGGACUUGGUAAGCACCGUCUGCAGAUAUCAAACAAUUUCCAGUUCCUAUGCAUACAUUUUGAUUGACAAAAAGGUGCUUCGGUUCGUCUUAUUUUUAUAUUUAUAUAGUUUGGUACAAGAUCUGAAAGUCUGUAUUACUGAAUAUUGGGGAAUGGAAGGACGGUUUGAAAUGUAUUAGGCUAAUGGUUUUUUCAAACGAACCAUCUACAACCAUAAAGUGAAGGGAACAAAAACGAGUACGUGAUAUAGAUUCGCAUUCCUACCUAACUUUGAUAGAUUUGGAAUUUCUAUGAUCAAUUUUUGGAGGUAUGUGAAAUUAUCCAUAUUAUGAUUCGCGAGUGUAGUGUUAGCACCAUUUUUUCUAAUUACAGUAGUGGUUCGUCAGUUUUGGUUAUACUAAAGGAACAUGAGUUGUUUAGUGUCAGCACCAUUCCAUCAUUUGCUGUCUUAGCUCAGUUGGUAGAGUGCGUGGCUUUCCGCCACGAGGGCGUGGGUUCGAUUCCCACAGACGGGAAAUGUUGGGGCAAUUUUGAACCAAGUAGAAUUAAAAAAAAAGAAUAGCAGAACGUUUUAGAAUUAUAAUUAGGUUCUUUGAGGUAAAUGAAUUCUUGACAUAAAGUAGCAGGUUGUUGUAGCACUUAAUUAGACACAGUGUGGUGAUCAGUUGAUGAAAAAUAGAACAAAGGGUGUAAAGAACCUCUUUGGCCCAUUAAAAAACUAAAAUGUUUGGCCCAUCAGAAAACUUAAUUGUGGCAUAGACAGUAGAUACCAUUGAGCUUUAUAAGAAAACGAUUCAUUUCGAACAAGUAUGAAAUAAUAGAUAAAAAUAGGUUU